GUAGGGAAUAUUGGGCAAUGGAGGCAACUCUGACCCAGCCAUGCCGCGUGCAGGAUGACGGCCCUCUGGGUUGUAAACUGCUUUUAUACGGGAAGAAAAAAUACUACGUGUAGUAUACUGACGGUACCGUAAGAAUAAGGACCGGCUAACUCCGUGCCAGCAGCCGCGGUAAUACGGAGGAUCCAAGCGUUGUCCGGAUUUAUUGGGUUUAAAGGGUGCGUAGGCGGAUCUUUAAGUCAGUGGUGAAAGCCUGCAGCUUAACUGUAGAAUUGCCAUUGAAACUGAAGAUCUUGAAUGUGGUUAAAGUAGGCGGAAUGUAUCAUGUAGCGGUGAAAUGCUUAGAUAUGAUACAGAACACCGAUAGCGAAGGCAGCUUGCUGAACCAUUAUUGACGCUGAGGCACGAAAGCGUGGGGAGCGAACAGGAUUAGAAACCCUUGUAGUCC
rnacentral:rRNA from 1 species